UACGAAGGGGGCUAGCGUUGCUCGGAAUUACUGGGCGUAAAGCGCACGUAGGCGGCUUCUUAAGUCGGUGGUGAAAUCCUGGAGCUCAACUCCAGAACUGCCUUCGAUACUGGGAGCUCGAGUCCGGGAGAGGUGAGUGGAACUGCGAGUGUAGAGGUGAAAUUCGUAGAUAUUCGCGAAGAACACCAGUGGCGGAAGGCGGCUCACUGGCCCGGUACUGACGCUGAGGUGGCGAAAGCGUGGGGAGCAAACAGG
rnacentral:rRNA from 1 species